CCUCUUCCACCUGCUGCGGGCAGAUGAAGUGGAUGUGCGCGUCCACGCCGCCUGCGGUGAGAAUGCGCCCUUCACCCGCGAUGAUCUCCGUCCCCGGCCCGAUCACGAUGUCGACGCCGGGCUGCACAUCGGGAUUGCCAGCCUUGCCGAUCGCAGCGAUCCGCCCGUCGCGCAAGGCGAUGUCGGCCUUGUAGAUACCGCUCCAGUCAAGCACCACGGCGUUGGUGAUGACGGUAUCGGCAGCGCCCGCCGCGCGGGUUGCCUGGCUUUGGCCCAUCCCGUCGCGG
rnacentral:sRNA from 1 species